rnacentral:rRNA from 1 species
GACGAACGCUGGCGGCGUGCCUAAUACAUGCAAGUCGAACGCUGAAGGAGGAGCUUGCUUCUCUGGAUGAUUGGCGAACGGGUGAGUAAAGCGUAGGUAACCUGCCUGGUAGCGGGGGAUAACUAUUGGAAACGAUAGCUAAUACCGCAUAAGAGUAGAUGUUGCAUGACAUUUGCUUAAAAAGUGCAAUUGCAUCGCUACCAGAUGGACCUGCCUUGUAUCAGCUGGUUGGUGGGGUAACGGCUCAACAAGGCGACGAUACAUAGCAGACCAGAAAGGGGUGACGGCCACACUGGGACCUAGACACGGCCCAGACUCCUACGGGGGGGAGCAGGAGGGAAACUUCGGCAAAGGACGGAAGGCUGACCGAGCAACGGCGGGGGAGGGAAGAAGGGUUUCGGAUCGUAAAGCUCUGUUGAAAGGGAAGAACGAGUUUGAGAGUGGAAAGUUCACGCUGUGACGGUAUCUAACCAGAAAGGGACGGCUAACUACGUG